AUUGAACGCUGGCGGCAGGCCUAACACAUGCAAGUCGGACGAGUGGCGGACGGGUGAGGCAUGUCUGGGAAACUGCCCGAUGGAGGGGGAUAACUACUGGAAACGGUAGCUAGUACCGCAUACCAUAGGGUGUGCCCAGAUGGGAUUAGCUCGUAGGUGGGGUAAUGGCUCACCUAGGCGACGAUCCCUAGCUGGUCUGAGAGGAUGACCAGCCACACUGGAACUGAGACACGGCCCAGACUCCUACGGGAGGCAGCAGUGGGGAAUCUUGCACAAUGGGCGCAAGCCUGAUGCAGCAAGGCCGCGUGUAUGAAGAAGGCUUUCGGGUUGUAAAGUACUGUCAGCGAGGAGGCGUUACUCACAGAAGAAGCACCGGCUAACUCCGUGCCAGCAGCCGCGGUAAUAC
rnacentral:rRNA from 1 species